rnacentral:rRNA from 1 species
GACAGAGGUGCCAAGCGUUAGGCGGAAUCACUGGGCUUAAAGCGUGUGUAGGCGGAAUUGUAAGUACCUUGUGAAAUCCCACAGCUCAACUGUGGAACUGCUCGGUAUACUGCUUUUCUUGAGCCACUUAGGGGCUGUCGGAACAAAUGGUGGAGCGGUGAAAUGCGUAGAUAUCAUUUGGAACGCCAACGGUGAAAACAGACAGCUGGGAGUGUGCUGACGCUGGAGACGCGAAAGCCAGGGGAGCGAACGGG